CCUGAUUGCUAAAUGAGGAGGACCACUGCGCCUCCUUUGAAUGAGAUUCCAAACCAGUAAGCCGAAAUGCAGGAAGGAAUGAAGGAGGCGGAGGAAGUGAUUUGUCCAACAGACCAAUCAUGUGUGCAUAACCUUGAUCCUCUGGACAGGAAACCCAGGAGCACCCCUGAAAACAACAACUCCUUGCUGAUAAUCGUCCGGUCGCGGUGACCCGAGGUGAUUUACUUCCCAGGAUUCUAUUCAAUGCGUGCGUGGGGAGCAGAAAAUACCAGAAUGCGGCGCGCCGCCGUGAUAGUUUAAGCGUUUCCAACGACAACGUGUGCUAAACAUGAAGUAAUGGCCUCACGGUACAUGCCUGAAAGCAUCAGUGUACAUCAGUGGGCGGCAGAGGUACUUAUUAUUGCGUGCGCGAUCUAUUUUGGUUCGUCAGAGAACUUUGUAGGUAUUCAAAAGGAGCAGGGAAGAAAUCGGCAAUAGACUAGACGGGCUUGGUCUUCAAAGGAUACUUACGGAGCCGAUCCCGUCCAUGAGGGUCAGGAGGGACGCCACCACUCGCUUCUCCACCUCGUUCUGAGCGCCCUCGCGCUUCGGACACAGGGCGUCCAGCUCGUCGAUGA